rnacentral:rRNA from 1 species
AAUACCGCAUACGAUCUACGGAUGAAAGCGGGGGAUCGCAAGACCUCGCGCGAUUGGAGCGGCCGAUAUCAGAUUAGGUAGUUGGUGAGGUAAAGGCUCACCAAGCCGACGAUCUGUAGCUGGUCUGAGAGGACGACCAGCCACACUGGGACUGAGACACGGCCCAGACUCCUACGGGAGGCAGCAGUGGGGAAUUUUGGACAAUGGGCGCAAGCCUGAUCCAGCAAUGCCGCGUGCAGGAUGAAGGCCUUCGGGUUGUAAACUGCUUUUGUACGGAACGAAACGGUGAGCUCUAAUACAGUUUGCUAAUGACGGUACCGUAAGAAUAAGCACCGGCUAACUACGUG